rnacentral:rRNA from 1 species
AUUGAACGCUGGCGGCGUGCCUAAUACAUGCAAGUCGAACGCAAAACUUUCACCGAAUGCUUGCAUUCACGAAAGUUUUGAGUGGCGAACGGGUGAGUAACACGUGGGUAACCUGCCCAGAAGAGGGGGAUAACACUUGGAAACAGGUGCUAAUACCGCAUAAUAACAAAAACCGCAUGGUUUUUGUUUGAAAGAUGGUUUUGCUAUCACUUCUGGAUGGACCCGCGGCGUAUUAGCUAGUUGGUAAGGUAAAGGCUUACCAAGGCAAUGAUACGUAGCCGAACUGAGAGGUUGAUCGGCCACAUUGGGACUGAGACACGGCCCAAACUCCUACGGGAGGCAGCAGUAGGGAAUCUUCCACAAUGGGCGCAAGCCUGAUGGAGCAACACCGCGUGAGUGAAGAAGGGUUUCGGCUCGUAAAACCCUGUUGUUAAAGAAGAACGUAUCUAAGAGAAACUGCUUAGGUAGUGACGGUAUUUAACCAGAAAGCCACGGCUAACUACGUGCCAGCCGCCGCAGUAA